GUCCCCUCGGGGACAUCCGAUAAAAUUGGAACGAUACAGAGAAGAUUAGCAUGGCCCCUGUUAAGGUUCAAAACUUACAUCAUGAGGACCAAUGAAUCACC
rnacentral:snRNA from 1 species